UAGGGAAUCUUCCGCAAUGGACGCAAGUCUGACGGAGCAACGCCGCGUGAGUGAAGAAGGAUUUCGGUUCGUAAAACUCUGUUGUUAGAGAAGAACAGCGCAUAGAGUAACUGUUAUGCGUGUGACGGUAUCUAACCAGAAAGCCACGGCUAACUACGUGCCAGCAGCCGCGGUAAUACGUAGGUGGCAAGCGUUGUCCGGAUUUAUUGGGCGUAAAGCGAGCGCAGGCGGUUAGAAAAGUCUGAAGUGAAAGGCAGUGGCUCAACCAUUGUAGGCUUUGGAAACUGUUUAACUUGAGGGCAGAAGAGGAGAGUGGAAUUCCAUGUGUAGCGGUGAAAUGCGUAGAUAUAUGGAGGAACACCGGUGGCGAAAGCGGCUCUCUGGUCUGUAACUGACGCUGAGGCUCGAAAGCGUGGGGAGCGAACAGG
rnacentral:rRNA from 1 species